rnacentral:rRNA from 1 species
UUGGGGAAUAUUGCACAAUGGGGGAAACCCUGAUGCAGCGACGCCGCGUGAGCGAAGAAGUAUUUCGGUAUGUAAAGCUCUAUCAGCAGGGAAGAUAAUGACGGUACCUGACUAAGAAGCCCCGGCUAACUACGUGCC